rnacentral:snRNA from 1 species
GUCCCUUCGGGAACAUCCGAUAAAAUUGGAACAUACAGAGAAUAUUAGCAUGCCAUUGAACAAGCAUGACAUGCACAAAUCAAGAAAUGGUCCAAAGAAGA